rnacentral:snRNA from 1 species
UGUCCUCCAUAGGAGGUCUAUAUUGAGCAGAUUCUUUUUGGUAUUGGGUGGUGGAACCGGAGCGUGCUCCAUCCACUCCAUGCAUUGACCUGGUAUUGCAGUGCUUCCAGGACCGUGC